rnacentral:rRNA from 1 species
ACGCUCGACACCUACGGGAGGCAGCAGUGGGGAAUAUUGCACAAUGGGGGAAACCCUGAUGCAGCGACGCCGCGUGAGCGAAGAAGUAUUUCGGUAUGUAAAGCUCUAUCAGCAGGGAAGAAACUGACGGUACCUGACUAAGAAGCACCGGCUAAAUACGUGCCAACAGCCGCGGUAAUCUGAGCGGGCGUGGCAAGGC